rnacentral:lncRNA from 1 species
UCAAGUAAUAAUGUCUUUAAAAAUGUAUUAUCAAGAGAAAAAUGACAACUAUGCAUUUACUGGUUCACCUAUAAAUAAUAUCACACCAAAUGACGAUUUCCAAAACAAGAAUAUAAUGAAUACAAAUUUAAAUAUGGGAUUUUCUGUUGGUACGAAUAAACAUGGUACAUAUAAUGUAUUCCAAAACGAAAGUAAAUGUAGUAAUAUAAGUAAUCAUCCUGUGAACAAUAAUGGUAAUAUUGUUGAUAAUUUGACUGGUAAUUGUAUUGAUAAGUUGAGUGAUAAUAGAAGCAAUGUUGAUAUAGUUAGUAGUAACAAUGCAGGUAUGGCCAAAAUAAAUAGUAAAAAAAAAAUGGGUAAUAAUCCUAACAAUGAUGAUAUGGAAAUACUUAAAUCCAACCUAGAUAAUAGAAAAAAGAAAAAAAUAAAUUUAGAAAAUAUUUUUAACGACAUUGACCAUGAUUUAAUUCCUAAUAAACAAACAGUUCGUCAUGGUAGUAAUAGUAGUAGUAGUAGUAGUAGUUUGAAAUUGAAUGGUGUCAGAAAUUUAAAAACGGUAAAUGAUAAGACACAUAUGAUGGGAGAUACAAAACAGCAGGAUUUGAUUUUUGAAAAUAUAAAAGGAAGCAAAUCGAAAAUAAAUUUAAAAAAUAAAAAAAACAGGAGUCGUAAUAAUGAGAAUAGCAAUAGUAAUACCCGACACAGCAGAAGUAAUAGUAAUCGAAAAAAAGAACUAAUGGAAACAAUGGAAAAAAUGGGAAAAAUGGGUAAAAUAAGUGAAUUAGAAGAUAGUACUUUUAUUUCAAGCGAAAUUGAUGGAAUUAAUAAAAACAAAAGCAGAGAAUCUCAAAGACAUAAAAAAAGAAUGAGUUUAUCAAAGCAAGAUAAUAAGACGUCACAUAAAGAAAUGAAUGAUAACUUAAAAAAAAUUGAAAGUGCUGAUUAUCUUCGUAAUGUUACGACUAAUAGAGUUAGUAAAGAUAUACUUGCUGUAAAUGAUGAAAAGUUAAUUAGUACUAGUAUUAUACCAGAAAACAGAAACGGAAAAAAAAACAUGGGCUCGUUGGGUAAGUCACCAAAUAAAACUGUGAAAGAAUUGAAAGGCAAUACGAAUAAAAAUAGUGGUACCAAUCGGGAUAGUAGUAACUACCAAAAUAGUCGUAGCCACCAAAAUAGUCGUAGCCACCAAAAUAGUAGUAACAAUAAGACGAUUGUAAAAAUGGACAAUCGUAAUAUAAUAGGUGAUGUUACUGAUGCACCACAUUUAGAUGCAACAUGCCAUGAUAAACAUUCGAAUAGACUAACAGAUGAUUUUAGUUCUAAAGAUAAUACGAAUGUAAAAGUUGUAGAUGUAAGUCCCACUAGAGAUGAAUCAGUGAAUCAACCUAACCAAACUGUGGAGAUGACAUUAUCAAAUCCACAGUCGGUUGUUGGUGACAAUUCUAACGUUAUAAAUAGUGUUAAUAAUGUCAAUGAUAGUAACAUUAAUAAAAAUGUCAAACCUAGCAAUAUCAGUAGUAAUAGUAGUAGUAAUAAUAAUAAUAACAACCAUAUAUAUAGAAGUAAUAGUAACAACCAUAUAGAUAGAAGUAAUAGUAACAACCAUAUAGAUAGAAGUAAAAGCAACAAGAACGAUAAGAAUGAACCAACUAAUACAACACAAAAAAAAAAAUUUAAAAUUUUAAUUA